rnacentral:rRNA from 1 species
GUGGGGAAUAUUGGACAAUGGGCGAAAGCCUGAUCCAGCCAUGCCGCGUGUGUGAAGAAGGUCUUCGGAUUGUAAAGCACUUUAAGUUGGGAGGAAGGGCAGUAAGUUAAUACCUUGCUGUUUUGACGUUACCGACAGAAUAAGCACCGGCUAACUUCGUGCCAGCAGCCGCGGUAAUACGAAGGGUGCAAGCGUUAAUCGGAAUUACUGGGCGUAAAGCGCGCGUAGGUGGUUUUGUAAGUUGGAGGUGAAAUCCCCGGGCUCAACCUGGGAACUGCCUACAAAACUGCAUGACUAGAGUACGGUAGAGGGUAGUGGAAUUUCCUGUGUAGCGGUGAAAUGCGUAGAUAUAGGAAGGAACACCAGUGGCGAAGGCGACUACCUGGACUGAUACUGACACUGAGGUGCGAAAGCGUGGGGAGCAAACAGGAUUAGAUACCCGGGUAGUCC